CACACGACUCUCGGCAACGGAUAUCUCGGCUCUCGCAUCGAUGAARAACGUAGCGAAAUGCGAUACCUGGUGUGAAUUGCAGAAUCCCGCGAACCAUCGAGUCUUUGAACGCAAGUUGCGCCCGAGGCCAUUCGGCUGAGGGCACGCCUGCCUGGGCGUCAC
rnacentral:rRNA from 1 species